CCAACAAGGCUGCAUCCGAAAGAAAAGAAAAAAAAAAAAGGCCCGGAAACAUCUGACGCAAUCUCACAGACGGAAUUUGUUGCCGGCGAGCAACUCCCUUGUUUACAGUUUCAGACGCCGGGGCGAAAAAAAAAAAAAAAUCAACGUUACAAGAUACCUUUGCUUCUCAAUUUUCUUGGAAACAAAGAAAACUCGAAUCCCAGGUGAAAGUUUUCUUCUCCGCAUCAGUUCCAUACAUUAUCUCGUUUGGAGAGAACGGGGGUUUGAGAUCAGGAAAAUCUCUCUCUUUUUGCGAGCAUUUUGGCCAGUCUAGGGAUUUUUUCAAGCAGUGCUACCCGAAUGCAACAGUCUCUGAUUUUGUAUUCUGUAGGGGAAACCGUUGUGGGGAUGGCACUGAACACGGUGCACUGAUGCCCCUAUUCUGGACUGUGAUUCAUCAGCUUGCAGAGAUCGGAGCAAUGGCCACAUCAAAGAAAGUGAUUACGAAAGAAGAGUGGGAGAAAAAGCUCAACGAUGUAAAGAUUAGGAAAGAAGACGUGAAUAAAUUGGUGAUGAAUUUCCUUGUCACGGAAGGUUUUGGUGAUGCUGCUGAAAAAUUCCGUUGCGAAUCUGGAACUGCACCAGAUAUAGAUCUUGCAACAAUUACAGAUCGCAUGGCAGUUAAGAAGGCAGUUCAGUGUGGUAACGUGGAGGACGCAAUUGAGAAAGUCAAUGACUUAAAUCCUGAGAUACUGGACACAAACCCCCACUUGUUUUUCCAUCUCCAACAGCAAAGGUUCAUAGAGUUAAUUCGGAAUGGGGAGGUAGAAGAGGCUCUAGAGUUUGCCCAGGAGGAGCUUGCACCAAGGGGAGAAGAAAAUCAAAGCUUUUUGGAAGAGUUGGAGAGGACUGUUUCACUUCUCGCUUUUGAAGAUGUUUCCAACUGUCCUGUUGGAGAGCUUCUGAACAUAUCACAGCGGCUAAAGACUGCUAGUGAGGUGAAUGCAGCCAUCCUUACCAGCCAGAGUCAUGAAAAAGACCCAAAGCUUCCUAGCUUGUUAAAGUUACUGAUAUGGGCCCAAAACCAGCUUGAUGAGAAGGCUGCUUAUCCUCACAUUAACGAAUUGUCUACGGCCAUACUUGAAGACCCUGCCAUCUGAGAAGGGGUGGCCAUGCUUGAAGACCCUGCUCUCUGAAAAGUAAAACUUGGUGUGACCUCGGGUCCUGAGUGUGGAGGUGUAGGCGUUUAGACUUUAGAUCAAGUUUGGUGUAAUGGAACGUGAUGUAUGCAAUUUCAUCUGAAAAAAGAGGGUAUCUAGUUGUCUCUUGCUUGUCAUUCAGAUUGGAUUUAAUUCCUUUCCUAACGCUUUUUAGUGGCCUUAUUCUGUUGUACAAACGAUUUUUGAAUAUUGUCUCGUUAUAUUCAUUACUAAGGUGGUCGAGAAUUUCUCCAAAAUCCAGUUUGAUGAAGAAUGGAUGAGCUGAAGUUGAUGCAAUUUAAUGUCGCUGUUAUGCUGUCUGCCAUUUUAUGGAGAACUAAGAUUUAUGCUAGAGCACUGUAAAAGCACCUUUUUUUGCCAUGUUUGUCACUCGGUAACACAAAAUUCGCAUAUUUCCAGGCAAAUGAUACAAUCACUGACUAGCAAUGUUCCCCUGAAACUGUGUUCCUUAUUUACCAAGUGAAAAACAUAAACUGGCAAAGCACAUAAAUAUGCAAAUGCCGAUGCAGUCUAAAAUUGAAACAAAUUGAAACAGCAUGAAACUGCUCUUUACCCCUUUACACGCUCAGCUUUGACCCAGACAACAUACACCCAAGCAGUUUUUUUAAUAUCUGGAAAAUCCUGAAAUUUUGCACGUUUAAAUUCAUUUCCUCCCUUUCCCAAAUUGCUACAGCCAUCAUCAAAAUUGAGAGCGUAACUGGAAGGAUCAUACUGGAACUUGAGCUGCUGCUGCUUUCCUGCAUUCUUGACGGCCUUCUUCACUGCCGCUCUCAUCCUCCAGAAUAGACUCCUGCAUUGCUUCUUACUGUAGGCACUCACCCACUCUAAACUUCCACCCAAACCCAUAUCUAUCGGCAUCUAGCAGUCUCAAUAUAAAAACCCAGUUCUUCUUUUUGCAAAUGGCUUCAGUUGGUUGCCAAAGGCUGCUCUUUUUUCGUUACUUUGAUGCAGUCUCAAUAAAAAUACCUUUGAAGAAGAAAAAACAGCCAGGCUGUGAGAAGUUCUUUGUGGGCCUGUGAGAGAGACAGAGAACAGAAUGCGAUCCAAUAUAUUACGAUGCACAACGAUGGAAUAAGAAGACUUAUAAACGGAUUCAAGCUCCGAAAGGGGGAGUAGUACAGGAGAAGGAAAACGGAAAUGGGAAAUUGAAAAUGAGAAAGAACGCAAUCUUUUUGGUCUUUCAAAAAAGCUGCGCAGCUUCAGCAGCAGCCUUCACAGUAAUAUACUUUUUUGGGAAUCGCAUUGGGAUGCUGAAAUUCCAUCAUCCACAGAGAGGAGAGAGAGUUUGGGGGGGGGGGGGUGGUGUGUAGUGGGCAGAGAGCCUAUCUAAGGUCCUUUCACCAUCAGAAUGUGGUUGUGCAAGCUGUAGCAUAACGAAUCCAUAUUCCUCGGCACUUAAAAAUGUAGAUUUCCUGGGCUCUGCCUUUCUUCCCGGGACACGUAUUGUGAUUUGUGAGACCCCGUCCACUUACCUCUCACUCUCACUGAUUUUCUUGGCUAACCCUAUCAAUGUUAUUUCAUCACGCCUUACGAUGUUUCAAACCAGCCUCAUUAGUCGCUAGGGCCUACCCUUCUCCCUACGCCAAAAAAAAAGUCGCUUUUCACCCAACAAACUGUACCUAAAUAUCCCAAAAUUUCCAUUUAGCCAAUCCUAAAUGUAGGCAUUGUAUCAUUGGAUUCAUCUAGUCCUUUAACACUCUUUCUCAAAACAAGUUUCAAUUCAACCCAACUUUCCUUGCUUUAAUUCUACCCUCGCUAUAUUAUGUACGCAUAUUGUCUGAUAUUUCUUUGGCAUCAAUGCAUGUGGCUCAUUGACAAAUACCGAGCGGAUCUGCAGAAUCAUCGUCAAGGUUUUGUCACUGCCAGAAUGAGAGUGGUCCAUUCUUUUGAACAUUUUAAAUCGGCUAUGAAAUCCUACAGUGAUCAAUCAAUUCAAACUUUUCUUUUUGCUCCUAACUGGUUUGUCUCCUGCAGAAUGUAAUGUGGGAGGGAUGUGGUCACUUUGAUUAUCUUUCCUACUUUUUCUUCUCUUUUUGUCUUGACCUCCAAAAUCCAUGUGCUGUUUACAUCCACCUUUAUUUCUCCUUUGUCUAUCUCCACAGCUCCCUUUCUCAGAUCUUUGCUUUGGCCUAUUGACUCCUCACUGUAUAAUGUAGACCCCGACCUACUAUGGUUUCUUUUGGGAUGUGGGUUCGCACAAAUGACCUGUCAUUCUUGUCAACCAGGCAACCUUUGUCUUAGGCCUUGGUCUCCUCUCUGUGAACUGUUUUGUUAAACUUUUACCUUUGUGUGGAUUUGGGCUUCUUUUUAGCCUUGGGUGAAUUUGGAUUUUCAAGGAUUAGGUUUUGCUGCUUGACAUUUUGCUGGAAGUGGGUCCCUCUUUCGGCUGAUUGCAACAGGAUUUGGCUUAGAGCUUGACCCAUAUGGUAUCCCCAUUGAAGCCGAACGAGUGAACACAUACUGUCUGCCCAAAUUAUUCACAUCGGAGUUAGUUGUCUUAUUUCAUUCACGAUAUUUGCUUGUAUGGUUUUUCUGGAACAGUCCGUAGAAUUAUGGCCUUUUCUAUUUGGAACUUUCACAUAUCUGUAACUGUGCCUUCACUUGUCUAUUUUCAUUGUAUCUGUAAUUCUAUCUUUCUAAGAGUAAGGAUGCUCUGUCUGUAAUUGCUUUCAUUUUAAAUAUCACAAACAGUGCACAUCCAGGUCUAGGAGAGGUUGGAUAAUGGGUGCUCUUGUGAACUUCAAAAGGUUGCACACGACACUGCCAAUUGUGAAAAUACAGAUUGAAAAGAACAUUCUUUUCAACAUUUAAACUUCAGGUUAAUCGAAAUUAUGCUGUUGCUGCAA